UUUCUCAGGAAAAAUCCUCAGAUGCUGACAGUAGAAGCCUCAGAUUGAAAUUUAAGUUCCGCAAAGUGGGAAAAAAGAAAUUACAAGAGGAAGACAAAGCUAAAUCAGGCCAAAGAUUCCACCGUUUUAUUGGUAAUUUGUGGCAUCAUAGGAGUCAUGAAGAUGAAGCAGAAAGUGAUGAUCCUCCAACACCAUCAAUAUCUCAACAGUAGCCCUUGAAAGCUGGAAGAACUCACAUUUUAGAAUUCUACUAAAAACUCUCAAAACCCUAAUACAGGUUGGCAUACACUAUUUCAGUACAAACAUGAGCACCACCAAGAAAGACCUUCCAAUUCUUUAUACUAGUCCAUUUUUCCUGAACUUAAUCAAGUUUUCUUAGAGGUUUACAUGUUUUCAUUGGCCAAAGAUACUUAUUUCAAGUUGUCUUUUUAAGUUCUCUUUCUCUUUGUGUAUCUUGAGCACCUACAGUAUCUACUUGGAUAAGCUCUUUGUAGAUCUAUAAAGGAUUUGAGGGAGUUCACUUCAUCAGGAAGUUUAGGAAUGGUUUUCUCUGACUGGCAGAGAAACUCUUGACACUAAAGAAUGAAUGAAUGACAGACCCUCAAGGAGAUGAAAAGAUGAAGCAGGAC
rnacentral:lncRNA from 1 species